rfam:Oryza meridionalis cultivar OR44 (W2112) chromosome 5, whole genome shotgun sequence.
UUUAAGUGCAACCAUAAGUUUCCAUGCUCAACUUUGAUCGUCCGUCUUAUUUUAAAAAUUUUUUAUAAUUAGUAUUUGUAUUGUUAUGAGAUGAUAAAACAUAAAUAGCACUUUAUGCGUGAUUUAUGUUUUUAAAUUUUUUUAAAUAAAACAAAUAAUCAAAAUUGGAUAUGGAAAAUCAUGGCUGCACUUGAA